GAGGGAGUCAGCAAGAGGUUCUAAAUUGUCCUUUCUUCUUUUCUUAGUUUAUGCAGCACAAUGUGACGAUUCUGGGUAAGUCUGCUUUAAUAAUAUAAAAUGAUGGAAUGAAAUUGUGGGAUUGUGUAGUUCCAGAAAUUAUCCAUACUCCUCUUUCCCUCACCGUGGAAUGUUUUUCAGACCGGCCCCUCCCCAAAAAUCAGCAAAAUUUAUUACGCUGUCAGCCUCUAAUAUGCUCACUCUCUCUGAAAAAAAAAACCCUAGAAGGCUUUCCUAGAGGAAUUGUUUUGGGGGACAAAACAGUAGGCUGUCUUUUCUUAUGCAAAAAAAAAAUCCAUUGUUUUGUUUCCCAGAACCAUUGCUAUUGGGACUCAGAAUCUGGUUUGAUCUGAUUUACAUGAGAAAGAAUUUAGUUUCUUCAAUUGGCUGGGUGUAGCUGCUUGGUCAAAGUGUUGAUCUUGUCCAUGUGGUGUUGCUUGAUGUCACGUUCUUCGCAUUUGACCUGUGAUGUAACAAGAUAUAUGGUUGCACUCUACUUUUAAAUUAUGACCGAGGUCUAACGGAAAGACAAGCGAUGGACUUUGGUGGAAGGUGAGAGGGGUGGGGAUCAAUCUCAAUAGGGUGAGGUGGGAUAAACCUCAAUAGGAUUAGG